AUUGAACGCUAGCGGCAGGCUUAACACAUGCAAGUCGAACGAGUGGCGGACGGGUGAGUAAUGUCUGGGAAACUGCCCGAUGGAGGGGGCUAACUACUGGAAAGGGUAGCUAAUACCGCAUACCAUCGGAUCUGCCCAGAUGGGAUUAGCUAGUUGGUGGGGUAAAGGCUCACCUAGGCGACGAUCCCUAGCUGGUCUGAGAGGAUGACCAGCCACACUGGGACUGAGACACGGCCCAGACUCCUACGGGAGGCAGCAGUGGGGAAUAUUGAACAAUGGGGGCAAGCCUGAUGCAGCCAUGCCGCGUGUAUGAGGAAGGCCUUCGGGUUGUAAAGUACUUUAAGCAAAGAGGCGGUACUCGCAGAAGAAGCACCGGCUAACUACGUGCCAGCAGCCGCGGUAAUAC
rnacentral:rRNA from 1 species